rnacentral:lncRNA from 1 species
UAAGCCCUGCUCAGAAGUCAAGAGCAGCAGCGCCGCCGCUCCUCGCUGCCUUUCAUGCAGCAGCCGCUUCUUAUUCUUGUGUCUCGGCCUCUCUGGGCGCCCCGGGACAAAGCCCCCAGAACCCGGCCGCUCCCUUCCCGCUAAAUCCCCUUCGGGGUCAGUGCGCUCCCAGCACAGGGCCGCACGCCUCUCCUGCUAGCCGCCGUGUGGCUCUUAAAGAGCCCCACACCCCUCCGCCCCGCGUGCUCCUCCGACCCCCGCCACCCCUCCCCUCUCCUCCGGAUCUAGCCCCCCACACCGACGCCUGAGGUCCCUGCUGCCCCGAC